rnacentral:rRNA from 1 species
UACGUAGGGUGCGAGCGUUGUCCGGAAUUACUGGGCGUAAAGAGUUCGUAGGCGGUUUGUCGCGUCGUUCGUGAAAACUUGGGGCUCAACCCCAAGCCUGCAGUCGAUACGGGCAGACUAGAGUGCGGUAGGGGAGACUGGAAUUCCUGGUGUAGCGGUGAAAUGCGCAGAUAUCAGGAGGAACACCGGUGGCGAAGGCGGUUCUCUGGGCAUGUCCUGACGCUGAGGAGCGAAAGUGUGGGGAGCGAACAGG